GGCUUGUGAUGGCUUCAAUGAACAACCAUUGUUUACCAUGACCUGUACCUCGAAGCUGGGGGACCAUGGUUCUCUUGGUCCAGGCCCAUGUCACAGGCGUGGGGCCUCAGGGAGUCCAUGGGCCAAUUAAGCAGGAGCUUUGUAUAAGGGAUGCUUUGAUUUCUUGUCUCCCACAAACGUCAUCUCAUGCAGAAAAGAGGACUGGACAACUAUUUCACUAAAACGCGAAGAGUGCAAGAAACCCACUCUCCGGUUCCAGCACAGCAGUGGUCCAGGAAGCCACGAGGGGACAUCAGGCCCCGCUGGGACUGCUCACACGGUCAGGAGCACUCACAUCCUGGCUGCACAUGUACUGGGAGGAGACAGGAGCUUCCAAACCGUCUGUCCCCUGAGUUGAGCAGGAAACAGGAUAAAGAAUCAUGGCUCACUCUUUCAUUCAGUCAAUCGAUCUUCCAUUUGAUUAAUAAAUAUACACUGGGUCCCACCAAGCCUAUGCUCCUGGCUUCUGCAAGGCCAUCUGUGUCUGUGUCACAGCCAAGUAGAGAAGACAAGGAAGUAAGCCAAGAUCUUAGUGCGGUGGGAUAAGCUGCUGAGGUGUUUUGUUGAAGAAUAAUGCCAACUUUUAGAAAUGAGAAAGGUGGACUCCAAAGAGAUGAGAGACCUAGAUAAGGAGGGCCCCUUAUCUAGGAAGCGGUUCAAGUUGGAGUUCCAACUGAAGCCUGCCUGAUCUCAGAAUCCACAACAUUUUCAACAUGCUGGGCUGUCUCAUCACCCCACAUUCAGGUUGGUACUCAGACCCGAGCUGGUGAAAGUACCUGGUGUCUUUAAGAACAUGUUGCCUCUUUCAUCAGAGCAGAUCCAUGUGAACUACUUCUGGGUAACCCUGGUGACAGGACACCUGGGAUUCACUGUGGUGCUGAGAUUUUCUAAGGAGCUGAAGAAAAGAGUGGCAUGCUCACAGACAUUCCGGAAGACCUCCUGGUCCACAAGUUUGUUAAUUUAACAAGAACUCACUCUUUUCUUUGGAAGUGAGCCACACAAAGCAGAGUCCUCAGAAUUCCUUGUGGGACUGUCAGGAAGGAGGUGUGUGCACACAUUUAGAGAUGACAGAUGACCAGAAAGAGAGGGCGCUCUCUAUACCUCCUUCUCAAUUGUCUUUCUCAAUUCAUUUCAGUACAGUCUGUCCAUCUAGGGUUUCUCGACGGCAGAGGCCACAGUUUCUCCAUAGUACUAAUUUAAAAUACAGAACCCUGGGCCCCAAGUGAGUCAAAAUCAGGAUUUGUGAUACAGAUAACUCCAUUAAGCACAAUAACUGAAAACAAAGUUCUCUGCUCUGAUAAAUGAAUUGAAGCUACCAUCCCCGAAGUCACAUUUGCCAUAUAAGAAAGCACAGCCACUCUUAAUGCAGGGAAACAUGCUAUAAACUGUAAUCACCAGAAUCACAUCAGAAAUUGAUGAUACUGGAAGAAAUUGUAAGGAUGCAAUGCCCUGAUCUAGAGCUGCCUGAUCCUACAGUGUGAAACUAAAAAUUGCAUUUUUGGAGUUGUGUUAAAAAUUAGACACAGAUUUGUUGCAAAACUUCCUGGAGGACACACCUAUUGGAAUUGUCUACAAUCCUUAGUCUCACUUCUGUGAAAUUGUCCAUGGUUGCUUCACAAUAAAUAUCUUUUUAAAUUAAAAAAAAUGAAAGAAAGUGCAUCAGCCUCUGUUCUGGGCAGCUAGGAGGAACAGGACUGCAGGCCUCUGGACUGGGCAGAAGUCAACACUGCAGAGGACCUGCACUUUACACAUGGGCACGUCCAAAGCUGAGCUUUAAGAAGUCAAGUGUUUGCCCAGUGUUUUCUGCCCCCAGGCUGUGUCCCUGCUGUCCCCUGGUGUUCAACAGUGUGGGUAU